rnacentral:rRNA from 1 species
UACGUAGGGUGCAAGCGUUGUCCGGAAUUAUUGGGCGUAAAGAGCUCGUAGGCGGUUUGUCGCGUCUGCUGUGAAAUCCCGAGGCUCAACCUCGGGUCUGCAGUGGGUACGGGCAGACUAGAGUGUGGUAGGGGAGAUUGGAAUUCUUGGUGUAGCGGUGGAAUGCGCAGAUAUCAGGAGGAACACCGAUGGCGAAGGCAGAUCUCUGGGCCAUUACUGACGCUGAGGAGCGAAAGCAUGGGGAGCGAACAGG